GUGACGCAGCUACUUCCGCUAAGUACAAGUCACGCUUGUACCAAAAAUUAAUGUGGGUCAAGAAAGUCAAUUUCGAAAGUCAAUAUUGGUCCAGAACUCUUUAAUAAACAACAGUUAAACUAGAGACAAGCUGCAGACAAAUAUAGUCGCGUGGUUAAAACGUUGAUUAAGGUACAACUUCAACCCGACUCUGCCUCCAGAAGCCCCCAGUUCAAACCUCUUCCAGAUGGUGGCGAUGAACCCCCACACACCGCCCGCAGGCAGAACCAGUCCCCAUGCAGAUGUGCUAAAAGCUCACACCCGCAAAACACAUACCAAUCUCAAGAACAAACCAACUCUAUCCAUCCAUCCUUUCAUCAGGGCUUACCUGUGCUCCUCUCACGACGUACUGUCUGCGUGGGGUGGAGGGCCAGUUGGUCGUAGUGUUCAAAAAAAGAGGACGUCUCAGGAGAGAAACACAAGAAGAGGGGAAAAAGAAACAGACAGGGGGAGGAGAAAGAGAGGCAGACUGGGGGAGAUGAAGAAACAGAAGAAGGAGGAGGAGAAGAGGAGGAUGGCGACUGAGCAGAAGGAGGAGUAGGGAAUUGAAAAGAUGGUAUAGAUGGAAGUGUGCAAAAAUGACAACAGGUGUCACCUUUUGUAAACAUCUCUAUGAUUCAUAUCACCUUGGUAUGUUAGAAAAAGUUGUAAAACAUGACAAAAGUUGUCCAGAAAAGUAUUCUACAACAUUGAAGGUAGCAAUUGAUUUCACGUGGCUUUGCCUGGAAUUUUUUUUUAUACCACAUCCAUUUAAAAAGCACAAUUGAACAGGGGGUUGGGGUUGUUUUUACAAUCCAAAUGCCUCCCCCAUUUGCCGGGGCGGACGUCCAUCACGCUGUCAAAGCACGCCGGGGCGUUGCGGCUGCUAUGCAUUGGUCGCACUUUCUUCCACUUGCAUACCAGACCCGGUCGUCGUCUCUUUGAAGAUUGUGGAUAUGUGAUCUCACACAUGUUCAAAACAUUAUCUCCACUCAGGAUAGGAGUGGGGGAAUCUCAUAGACCAAAUUCAUUGAAAUACUAUGACUGGAGACUACCAAUUGUAAAUCAUCAGAGACAAAAACAGAUCAGUCAAAAUUCUAACAUUGUCAAGGCUAAAAUCAUCUUAUGUCAACACUUUUCCCAGAAAAAAUUGUGCUCAAUGGCGACAGGCAAGGAAAACAUGCUGUGGAUUGUCAACCUCACUGACCUACGGAUCUAUGGAUUGUGGGAAGACUUAUGAGAAUACAUCAAACUCUGCAAUUUCGUCUUCUGCAGUGGACAUUUAUGUCUUUAGUCAGAGUUACACAUUUUGGAAAUCCAAUAGCCCUGUCGUACAAAACACAAAUGUCUACUGGAGGAUGCUGGCUCUCAGGAGGAUAUGUGCUGUGUUUUUGGUCAUAGCGCUAUGAUAACUGCCAUACUAAUGUACUCAAGGCUACAUUUGUUUUGUUUGAAUUCAGUUUUACAAUAAAUAGUUUUGUUCGUUACAAUCAUAUUCAAACGCAAGUCCUCUGUAGCGUAUAAUAUGCACUUCGAACCAUCAUGUUAUGGACAGUCUUCUUUAUAACAGGUCUAUAUGAUCAUGAUGAGUCUGUAACUAAAUCUAACAGUUUUAUUAUUAGCAUGCAAGCCAAAGUUUGCAGCAAAUAUCAUAAAACAACCCGACACACAAACACACUUGUGUGUAUUUGUGCAAAGAAAUACUCUUAAACGGCAUGCACAUGCUCCUACAGGGACUCUCCUCAGGCCCGAGCAUUAGCAAACAGGGAUAUUCUGGGACCUAUCCUUGGCACCGACACACUGAGUCUUCUAAUAAACUCACAGACAGCAGCCAGACGCCACCUUCUGUCGCUGCCGUGUGGCCAUGUGCUGGACGCAAGCCCUCGUUGGGGCACAUGUGCUACGGAAUCUCUUUAAGGAAGUGCAGUGAUAACGUGUAAGGAGACGGACUGUAAAUGUCAGGUUACUGUCAGAAAGGAAGUGAAAAAUCUUAUUAUUUGCACAAGUCGCGCAAAUCCAUAAAACAUCUGCUUUUAGGUAUUAUCUGGUGAGGAGGGAGCUCAAGUUUGGUUGCAUAUGCUCUUUUAUUAUGUGAAUAUCUUCUGCAAGCUAAGCAGAUGGAAAAAUUACUCUCAGGGUGCUUUUUUUUUUUUAACACAUCUCAAAUCCCACAUCACACCCGCAGCAACCAGCCGCUGGAUUGUGGGUAAUGAGCCUCAAAGCAAUUGGUUUUGACGGCAGACGUGUGUGCGUGUGUGCGUGCGUUCGUGCGCGUGCGUGUGUAAGAGAAUGGAGGCAAUGUGCCUCACCACCACAUGGGGGCAACAGAUUGAUGCUGCUGCUUUGAACUAACAGAAUCCACAUCAACUUCACAGUCACUUACCCAUCCAUCCAUCCAUCCAUUUUCUACCGCUUAUUCCCUUCGGGGUCACGGGGGGCGCUGGAGCCUAUCUCAGCUACAAUCGGGCGGAAGGCGGGGUACACCCUGGACAAGUCGCCACUUCAUCGCAGGGCCAACACAGAUAGACAGACAACAUUCACACUCACAUUCACACACUAGGGCCAAUUACCAAGCUUAUUUAUUUAUUAUGUGCAGUUUUCAAAUCUUUUUGUAUGUCAAAUCAAUGUUAACAAUCCAUCCAGCAUGCGGAUGAGUCGCUCUUAUUAGGUUAAGCUAUGAGAAAAGGGAUUGCCUUGCAACAGAAUAAUAGCCAUCUUGACGUUGCAGGCGACAGACACCAUCUGGUGGCUGGAGUUAUUAUGACUUGAGAAAAAUCAGAACCUUAUUUCCUGGGUUUUUGACAUCGAAACAUGCCACGGCUGUAACUUUGAAAUCUACAGUUCAAAUAGUGCCAUUAUAAAUCCCUGCGGGAAUUUGGGAUGUCGCGACCUCGCCAAUUCACACAAAUUCAACCAAUCCCUGCAGAUUCUGCUGCGGUUUCUCAGCUUUGUCCUAUGCUUAGAUAAACAUGGAGAAUGUCUGCAACUUGGACGACAGAGCAGACAACGGACCGAAAGGGAGCCUUUGGUGGUGUCUCUUUCUGUAAUCAUAA